rnacentral:hammerhead_ribozyme from 1 species
AUACUGCUGAAGAGUCCCAAAACUAAGACGGAGGAAACAGUUGUCCAGUAC